GCGAGGGGUGACAGCCCGCGCGUCCCGCCCGGGCCCUGCCAGCAAACUUCCCAGCCUUGGGAGGCGCGGGCUGGCGGAAGCCCUGCGAGCGCCGCGGGGAGGCGACGGCGCCUGUUUGUUUUUAAAAUCCGGGAGUGCGUGCAGGCGGCUGGAGCCUGGGAGGCGACCGAAGGCGGCGGCCCGCGGCGGAAAGGGGACAGCCGAUGCUGGAGCCCGGGCAGGAGCCGGGUAAGUGGGGUGCUCGGCCGGCGGCCGAGGCCUGCACGCGGCGAGAAGCAGCCCGCCCUGGCGGCGGCGGCCCAGGGACCCCGGAAUGCGCGCAGGCGGUGGCGGCGGGGCGCGCGGGCUGCAGCUCUGCAGGCGCGGCCGGGAGCGGGGGCGCGGGACUGCGGGGGGCGCGGCGCGUCAACUUCUGCGGCCUGGGCGGCCGGGGCGGGGUGUGCGUGUGUACGUGCGUUCGCCGCUCCGCAGCCCGCUCGUCCGCGGCCCGCACCGCCAGCCCGCAGCUGCGUGUGCCCCGCCAGCCCGCCGUGUUUGUGCAGCUACGCAGCUCGCGCGCGGCCCCCGCCCACCCGGGCGCGGCCCCGGCCGGACCCCCUUCCCCCCCCCUGCCGCCCCGUUCCGAGCCGCCGGGUCGGUGGCCGCCUAGGAAUACGGCUGCUCCUCCCGCCGGAGAGAAACGUGGUGUCCGCAGGGAGCGGCUUGCGUGACCGAGCUCAGGCCCGGGAGGCGCCGGGAGGGGCUCGCUCGAGCUGCAGGAACUUGGCGCGGGAGCCCCUUCCCCUGGUCCUGCCAGUGUGCACGGCAAAGUGGACCUGGAAGCUGUGCCCGCGCCGGGACUUUAGGGGACAGACGUGCAGGGGCGGCAGGGAGCUGGGGCAAGUGCAGCAGAGGCCUAAGCUGGAGCGCUUAGGGCGGGCAGGCGGCCUCACCCCGCGCUCCUCUGCGCUGCUGGCGCACCUAAGACCUGUCAUCCCUCUCGGCCGCCCCCGCACGCCCGCGCUGCUGCGGCCUGCCGGGCUCUCCGCACACCUCAUCGUGUACUGUUUGGGGGUGCCCGCCCGGAACUCGGGGGGCCCGGGUUUUGUCUGGACCCUGCACAUGGCCGGCUUGGUGGAGGUGGUUUGA
rnacentral:lncRNA from 1 species